UAGUACCGUGAGGGAAAGGUGAAAAGAACCCCGGGAGGGGAGUGAAAUAGAACCUGAAACCCUGCACUUACAAGCUGUGGAAGCACAUUUCUUGUGUGACCGCGUACUUUUUGUAGAACGGGCCAACGAGUUACGUUAAGUAGCAAGGUUAAGCACUUAAGGUGCGGAGCCGUAGCGAAAGCGAGUUUUAACUGAGCGUUCAGUUACUUGACGUAGACCCGAAACCGGGCGACCUACCCAUGAGCAGGAUGAAGCGAAAGUAAAAUUUCGUGGAGGUCCGAACCCACGAGCGUUGAAAAGCUCGGGGAUGACUUGUGGGUAGCGGUGAAAUUCCAAUCGAGCCCGGAGAUAGCUGGUUCUCCCCGAAAUAGCUUUAGGGCUAGCCUCAAGGUGAGAGAUACGGAGGUAGAGCACUGAAUGUCCUAGGGGGUAUUGCACCUACCGAAGACUAUCAAACUCCGAAUGCCGUCAUCUUAUACUUGGGAGUCAGACUGUGGGUGAUAAGAUUCAUAGUCGAAAGGGCAACAGCCCAGAUCGUCAGCUAAGGUCCCUAAAUGUAAGUUAAGUGGUAAAGGAUGUGGGAUUGCACAGACAACCAGGAUGUUGGCUUAGAAGCAGCCACUCAUUCAAAGAGUGCGUAAUAGCUCACUGGUCGAGUGAUCCUGCGCCGAAGAUUUCCGGGGCUAAAACUUACUACCGAAGCUACGGCAUCAGUAAUGAUGGGUAGGGGAGCUUCCCAUACGGGUUGAAGCAUGACCGUAAGGACAUGUGGACAGUAUGGGAGUGAGAAUGUUGGCAUGAGUAGCGAGAUGUGGGUGAGAAUCCCACAGGCCGUAAACCCAAGGUUUCCAGGGGAAGGUUCGUCCGCCCUGGGUUAGUCGGGACCUAAGCUGAGGCCGAAAGGCGUAGGUGAUGGACAACAGGUUGAUAUUCCUGUACUACCGAUAACCGUUUGAGAGAAGGGAUGACACAGUAGGAUAAGCUAAGCACACUGUUGGUUAUGUGUGCCCAAGCAUUGAGGCAGUCAAAGUAGGCAAAUCCGCUUUGAUAAUGCUGGGAUGUGAUGGGGAGCGAAAUUUAGUAGCGAAGUAGCUGAUUUCACACUGUCAAGAAAAGUCUCUAUCGAGGUUAAAGGUACCCGUACCGCAAACCGACACAGGUGGGUGAGGAGAGUAUCCUAAGGCCAGCGAGAGAACUGUUGUUAAGGAACUCGGCAAAAUGACCCCGUAACUUAGGGAUAAGGGGUGCCACCAUCAGGUGGCCGCAGAGAAUAGGCCCAAGCGACUGUUUACCAAAAACAUAGGUUUCUGCUAAGUCGCAAGACGAUGUAUAGGAGCUGACGCCUGCCCGGUGCUGGAAGGUUAAGGGGAUCUGUUAGAGCAAUCGAAGCAGUGAACUUAAGCCCCAGUAAACGGCGGCCGUAACUAUAACGGUCCUAAGGUAGCGAAAUUCCUUGUCGGGUAAGUUCCGACCCGCACGAAAGGCGUAACGAUUUGGGCACUGUCUCAACAACAGACUCGGUGAAAUUGUAAUUCCGGUGAAGAUGCCGGAUACCUGCGACAGGACGGAAAGACCCCAUGGAGCUUUACUGUAGCUUGACAUUGGGUCUUGGUACUACAUGUACAGGAUAGGUGGGAGGCUUUGAAACCAGGACGCCAGUUUUGGCGGAGCCAUCCUUGGGAUACCACCCUUGUAGUACUGGGACUCUAACCAUAGGCCAUGAAUCUGGUCUUGGGACACUGUCAGGUGGGCAGUUUGACUGGGGCGGUCGCCUCCCAAAAGGUAACGGAGGCGCUCAAAGGUUCUCUCAGUACGGUCGGAAAUCGUACGUAGAGUGUAAAGGCAAAAGAGAGCUUGAUUGCAAGACAUACAGGUCGAGCAAGGAUGAAAAUCGGACUUAGUGAUCCGGUGGUUCUGCGUGGAAGGGCCAUCGCUCAACGGAUAAAAGCUACCCUGGGGAUAACAGGCUUAUCUCCCCCAAGAGUCCACAUCGACGGGGAGGUUUGGCACCUCGAUGUCGGCUCAUCACAUCCUGGGGCUGUAGUAGGUCCCAAGGGUUGGGCUGUUCGCCCAUUAAAGUGGUACGCGAGCUGGGUUCAGAACGUCGUGAGACAGUUCGGUCCCUAUCCGUCGCAGGCGUAGGAAAUUUGAGAAGACCUGUCCUUAGUACGAGAGGACCGGGAUGGACGUACCUCUGGUGUACCAGUUGU
rnacentral:rRNA from 1 species